UUUCUGCCAGGCUGGGGUUGGGAUGGGCCGGCCUUAGACGGAUUUCCACGAUGCUUUGACAAUCAUUGUUGGCUCUUCAACCACUAUUGACCAAUCCACGUUAGAUUCAUCGUAAUCACAGUCUGAGCGGUCCAAUCUCUGCAAGUCAGAGGGUUUAUUUACCAAUCACAUGUUCACAUUAUCCAAAAAUAAUAACAGAGUAAUACUCAAUAAAUAAAUGAACUAUGUAUCUUCAGAAUAAGAGCAAAUAGAGCAACAAGCUCAAGUUAGAAAGGCUGCUGGUUAUACUAAAGCUAUUUUUAGCUAUAUAUUCCACAAUAGACAGUAGACAUGGUCAGUAGACUGACCAUAAGGCAUGUUAUGCCAUUAACAUGAAACUUCACUUACUCAUCAUGCAAGACGUGAAGCCCCCUGCCGUGUCUGACCCUAGCCACGUGAGACCAUUUAUGUUGUGCACUAAACUCAGAGAAGCGCUGUGCUCUCCUAAAUCUUGCAGAAUCCGGUCGAAAAUAAAUCAAAUACAUAAUCUUAUCUGGUGCUGCUGAUCUAUUUUGGUGCUGCCAUUGUCUUCAUAAUCCAGCAGGCUGCGGCGCUCCUCCUUUACCAUGAACUGAACCUCCUACACAUCGAUCUGCAGGAGAAACAGAGAGGGAUCUGACCAGAUCGCCAUGGUCUCACAAGGAAACAAAGGUGGCUGAAAUCCAAACUGGCACUGGAAUGGGGACAUGCCAGUAGAUGUGUACUGGAGUGUGUUGUGGGCGUACUCAGCCCACGGCAGCCGGGAACUCCAGGAUGACGGGUGGUCAGCCACUAGACUCCUCAGAGAUGCCUCCAGCUCCUGGUUGACCCUCUCCGUUUGCCCAUUGGACUGGGGAUCGAACCCGGAUGUGAGGCUGGCCGUGGCUCCAAUGAGUUUACAGAAGGCUCGCCACACCCAGGAGGAGAACUGAGGACCCCUGUCGGACACAAUGUCCUGGUGAAGCCCAUAGACUCGGAAAACAUGUUCAAACAUUAGUUUGGCAGUUUGAAGAGCAGAGGGUAACUUUGGCAAGGCAAUAAAGCGACAGGACUUAGAAAACCUGUCUACC
ensembl:lncRNA